GUGGAGUUCAGGACCUGCCACCUGAGAUCCUCAGCUGCACAAAGCCGCCGGUGAAAGGGAUGGUCUUUCAGGAGGGCCUUGUUCAAACAGAGGAGAGAAAACGCUGGUGGGAAUACAAGACCAAGAGGCCUAUUUGGCCUAUGCGCCCCCCAGCACUUCCCAGAGGGCACAGGAAAGCAGGAGCAGCAGCAAGACCAUCACGAGGACCAGCUUUGAGCCUGGAGAAAAAAGCAGACAGCCAAACUGAAACCUGCCAGCCCUUCAACUCUGGCUUCAGCGGCAGCAGAAGCACAGAGCAAUCGGACAGGCUCGCUAUGGAAAGGCUGUACCGGCAGCUCCUGGUGUCCCUAAAACGGCCCAAGACCAAGAACGAUUGCUAACAAGUCAGGCUGUGGAACUGAAGAACAUCCUCCCUGUAACCUCUUCCUGCACACAGCCACCAGUGAAAGGGACGAUCGUGAAGGAGAACAUCCUUCAAACAGAGGAGGGGAAGUGCUGGUGGAAGAGCAUACCAACAGAGAACUGGAUCUCAGCCCUAAGAUCAUUGUUUGCAUCACACUAUUUCAGUUGGAGGUCUUUUGCAGUUUUAAAAAGAUAGUUUAAUAAAUGUCUCGCUAGUCUUCAGAGAAUUGCUAUCCUUAUUUCUUGACUUUUAGCAAUAAGAGCAAGCUCCCUCUGCGAGGAAGAGCUUCCAAGCAGGUAAGACUGCACUGGGGAUGGGACCUGAAGCAAGAAGAGCUGAUGAAAUGCUCUUCUGGGGGCUUUUGGAAGCCAGCAGAAGUGCUCUGCCUGUGCCAGGGGGCUGGCAGCCUGUGGGUGGGCUGCCGAGCCAGCGUGGGCGCAGCCGACACUGCCCACCCUGGACCAGGCUACCAGGCCAUAAGCAGUCUCAGGGAGGGUGGCAGCCAGCUGCCACCCACAGAGCACGCAGGGUGAGCAAAUGGUGAGCAAAGACUUCAGCAAAGCCUUUGACACUGUUUCCC
rnacentral:lncRNA from 1 species